UGGGGAAUUUUGGACAAUGGGGGCAACCCUGAUCCAGCAAUGCCGCGUGAGUGAAGAAGGCCUUCGGGUUGUAAAGCUCUUUUGUCAGGGAAGAAACGGUAGUAGCGAAUAACUACUACUAAUGACGGUACCUGAAGAAUAAGCACCGGCUAACUACGUGCCAGCAGCCGCGGUAAUACGUAGGGUGCAAGCGUUAAUCGGAAUUACUGGGCGUAAAGCGUGCGCAGGCGGUUGUGUAAGUCAGAUGUGAAAUCCCCGGGCUCAACCUGGGAAUUGCAUUCGAUACUGCAUAGCUAGAGUAUGGUAGAGGGUAGCGGAAUUCCGGGUGUAGCGGUGAAAUGCGUAGAGAUCUGGAGGAACACCGAUGGCGAAGGCAGCCCCCUGGGCUAACACUGACGCUCAUGCACGAAAGCGUGGGGAGCAAACAGGAUUAGAUACCCCGGUAGUCCCUGAGCGGGCUGGCAAGGCGCAU
rnacentral:rRNA from 1 species